UAGGAUCAGAAAUAACCCAAUUUUGAGUUUC
rnacentral:piRNA from 1 species